GAAAUAGUAUGACUUUGUGAAAAAACGCAUACAGAUUUUACUGCUGAUGUAGAACCAGAUUUUAAGAUGAAAAUCCUCACUGAAUAAGUAUUCAAAACUUUUCUCCUAACUGUUAUUCCUAUAGCAUAGGUAUAUUCACAGUCCUUUAAUAAAAGCUUUUUCUUCAUAUAAAUUCUUAGGCUACAGAGUAACAAUAUGUAUUGAUUGAACUGAACGUUUCCUCAGAGGGCACAUCAAGAUUACUGUUAAGAUUUCAGAUGAGGAAUUGCAUUUGUGAAGGUGAUGUUUCAACUGUACUUCCUUAGUAUCACACCAUGGAGCAUGCGAAUAGGAUUUCUUUGUGUGAAGAACCAGGAGGGACAGUCCAAUGCCAUCAAAUGGGAAUGGAAGAAUUAAUCAUUGAACCAGGAAAAGCAAUGUGAUUUUGCUGCCAAAAAUCUGGUAGGAUAUCACAAGAAAAAGUAAAGCAAAAUAUAAGUUUUUAAAUAUUUUGGUUUUCA
rnacentral:lncRNA from 1 species